CAACCCAGUGGCCGGGUCGAUUUUACCCGGAUUUUUUCGAUAUUAGCGGUUGUCAAAAUCUGGGUAUGUCAACAAAAUGGAUCUGAGUCAGACGAACCCGAAAUCUGGGUAAAUGGGGAGUUAACCAUUUUCGAAUACAGCAACAUGGCGCCGACGUUGUAUUCCAGAGAAAAUGUUGGAAUUUUUCGUUGUAUGCAGCAAAAAUAAGUUGUUGUCGAACAUAAUCCGAGAAUCCGAGAUAGUAUCUGAAAACUGUUCUGUUCCGGCGGAUUGUGGCCCAAUAAAUGUAUCAAAUAAUCUCUCUACAGUGUCAUAUACGACGGUGAAGCAUUCACAACGGACUCCAACCUAGCAGAUCCGCAACCAACGAAAAUGCGGAACCGAAUCAGCAGUCAUCUGCAGAUUUUGUACAAGGGGUGCAUCCAAUUUCAAUCACUGUAGCAUCAGGAGGUAAAGUCAACAACCUUAAUUCAUUCAUUGGGAACUUUCAAAUGCCCGGAGCACCUUCAUUGAAAUCCUGCGUGUUCUGUUGCCUUUUCACCACGCUCAACAUAAACAUCAACCUGCAGUAGAGAAGCUUACACCUGUUGUGAAAGCCACACACCACACACCUGAUAGGUCGUCCGCCGGAACGAAAUGACAUCCAACUUACGGGUACUCCCAACAGAUUUAGUCCACCUGAUUUGCAAGGCAGCGGUCAACACCCAUCAAUAUUUGUCAAAACGGACGGAAACGGCUUGUGAUCUUUGCCGGUCGCUCUAUCCUAUCUACUUCGGUACCAUCCAAAGAGUCUGACGAUGGGUAAAACUGCAGACUCUGCAUACAACGAUGACAACGGAGGUUAAAAUGGUGCAGUUACAAAUUAUUGAAGCAAUUGACCUGGUGGUGGAACCGCUGAGUGGAAGCGGUCGAAUGGAAGAACAUAUAUGCCUAAGCGAUCCUAAAGAUUGAUUAUGUAAAGAGGAUGACAUUGUCCUUACGCCUCAGAGUAGAUAGUUCAAUAUGGGAUUUGCUGAACUUAUCUGUGGCUGCGCGAAGCUUGAACUUCGGAGGAAGGCUGCUAUGCACUGAACGGAACAUCUUUGGAGGCAGAGAAUGACGUAGUGGCAGUGGUCACUGGAUGUGUCUUGGUACUGCUGACCAGAUAUGGAUACACCGGAAAGUAACGAUUAUCGUGCGCAAGGUAAUAGCUACCGAACAAGAGUGCGAAAUAUUCGCGAAGUUGCCCGAGGCCGAACGAGAUCUAAACGAUAUAGAUUCAUGAUUCGCACGGAGGAAACAAUUACAAUUUCGAUAAUUACAAUGAUCAUUAACAUCUAUAUGCUCACAAGCGUCGUCGAGACGAGAAUGGACUUCCCUAAACUUCAAUUUCCGCCAAUACAGCCACCGGAAAGCUGAAAUACUGCUACUCUACCUAUAAGGCAUGGAUCCUGCUUUCCCCUGUCCAACAGUAACCAGUAGCUCCGAUAUGGUGUUCCAGUCAGUAAGUUUUAAAAUCAAGGAUUAUGUAUUGCAUCUUUUUGAAAUAAAAUUUUAAUAAAAAAAAUACUUUUUUAAACAA